rnacentral:rRNA from 1 species
AGUGAACGCUGGCGGUAGGCCUAACACAUGCAAGUCGAACGGCAGCACAGUAAGAGCUUGCUCUUACGGGUGGCGAGUGGCGGACGGGUGAGGAAUACAUCGGAAUCUACUUUUUCGUGGGGGAUAACGUAGGGAAACUUACGCUAAUACCGCAUACGACCUACGGGUGAAAGCAGGGGAUCUUCGGACCUUGCGCGAUUGAAUGAGCCGAUGUCGGAUGAGCUAGUUGGCGGGGUAAAGGCCCACCAAGGCGACGAUCCGUAGCUGGUCUGAGAGGAUGAUCAGCCACACUGGAACUGAGACACGGUCCAGACUCCUACGGGAGGCAGCAGUGGGGAAUAUUGGACAAUGGGCGCAAGCCUGCUCCAGCCAUACCGCGUGGGUGAAGAAGGCCUUCGGGUUGUAAAGCCCUUUUGUUGGGAAAGAAAAGCAGCAGGUUAAUACCCCGCUGUUCUGACGGUACCCAAAGAAUAAGCACCGGCUAACUUCGUG